rnacentral:rRNA from 1 species
GACGAACGCUGGCGGCGUGCUUAACACAUGCAAGUCGAACGGAAAGGCCCUGCUUUUGUGGGGUGCUCGAGUGGCGAACGGGUGAGUAACACGUGAGUAACCUGCCCUUGACUUUGGGAUAACUUCAGGAAACUGGGGCUAAUACCGGAUAGGAGCUCCUGCUGCAUGGUGGGGGUUGGAAAGUUUCGGCGGUUGGGGAUGGACUCGCGGCUUAUCAGCUUGUUGGUGGGGUAGUGGCUUACCAAGGCUUUGACAGGUAGCCGGCCUGAGAGGGUGACCGGCCACAAUGGGACUGAGAUACGGCCCAGACUCCUACGGGAGGCAGCAGUGGGGAAUAUUGCACAAUGGGCGGAAGCCUGAUGCAGCAACGCCGCGUGCGGGAUGACGGCCUUCGGGUUGUAAACCGCUUUCGCCUGUGACGAAGCGUGAGUGACGGUAAUGGGUAAAGAAGCACCGGCUAACUACGUG